UUCUCCUUCAAGGCAUACUCAACCUCAAGAAAACCCCAGAAGGAGACAACAUGGUGUGGUAGCAUGUGCAACAGCCAUGUUCCAGCAGAGAUCUAUCACCAGUGCCUUGGUUUCUCCCGCUACUAAAGGACAGUGGAGCAAUGUCAGGAGUGUGGGAAAUUUGGAAAUGAACUGCUGAGCCUGGAAGAAGCAAGCCAAGAGCUGUCAAAAAGUAGGGAAAGCCUGCCUGGACUGUCUCCAAAGAGAUUUGAGACUAAGAGGACCAAAGCCAUCUCAGUACGUCGCUGGAAUGAACUUGCAGCAUGGCAGCGUGCCCAGGCAGCUCGUUGCUCUGGCGCUGCAGUGGAGCUGGAAAAGGCAGGGAGGGGAUACGGGAGCACAGCUCUGUCCUUGCCACGGCUGGAGGCUCCCUGACCAUCGCUCUCUUCAGCCAGCACAGCCCCACUGCGGCUCCUGCCCGUGGGGCUGCACAGCCACGGCACAGAAUGAAACCUCCCUCACGCCCUGUAGCAUUCUGCAAAUCUACUGAAAGACCAGCAGUACCUCGUGAGGAGCUAACUGGGGAAUGUCAACCGGACAUAGCGGUGCUAAAGUCAAAAGUCAGCAUCUUGCAAAGGGCUAAGGCCUCCCUGCCACAAGCUGUGCACAUGACCUUACAUAAGGGUCACAGCCAGUGAGCUAAAGCAUGUUGCAAGUGAAAUUUCAAUGGGAUAUCUGCUCACUACUGAAAUUAUACUCCACGUGACUAAGAAAUUUAAGGUAAG
rnacentral:lncRNA from 1 species